AUUGAACGCUGGCGGCAUGCCUUACACAUGCAAGUCGAACGGCAGCACGGGUGCUUGCACCUGGUGGCGAGUGGCGAACGGGUGAGUAAUACAUCGGAACGUACCUUAUCGUGGGGGAUAACGCAGCGAAAGUUGCGCUAAUACCGCAUACGCCCUGAGGGGGAAAGCGGGGGACCGUAAGGCCUCGCGCGAUUAGAGCGGCCGAUGUCUGAUUAGCUUGUUGGUGAGGUAAAAGCUCACCAAGGCGAUGAUCAGUAGCUGGUCUGAGAGGACGAUCAGCCACACUGGGACUGAGACACGGCCCAGACUCCUACGGGAGGCAGCAGUGGGGAAUUUUGGACAAUGGGGGCAACCCUGAUCCAGCAAUGCCGCGUGAGUGAAGAAGGCCUUCGGGUUGUAAAGCUCUUUUGUCAGGGAAGAAACAGCAGCUCUAGCACAGCCUGCGAAUGACGGUACCUGAAGAAUGAGCACCGGCUAACUACGUGCCAGCCGCCGCCGUAA
rnacentral:rRNA from 1 species